AGGAUGAACGCUGGCGGCGUGCUUAACACAUGCAAGUCGAACGAUGAAGGCUGGAGCUUGCUCUGGCUGGAUUAGUGGCGAACGGGUGAGUAACACGUGAGUAACCUGCCCCAGACUCUGGGAUAAGCGCUGGAAACGGCGUCUAAUACCGGAUACGAGCUUCCACCGCAUGGUGAGGAGCUGGAAAGAAUUUCGGUCUGGGAUGGACUCGCGGCCUAUCAGCUUGUUGGUGAGGUAAUGGCUCACCAAGGCGACGACGGGUAGCCGGCCUGAGAGGGUGACCGGCCACACUGGGACUGAGACACGGCCCAGACUCCUACGGGAGGCAGCAGUGGGAUAUUGCACAAUGGGCGCAAGCCUGAUGCGAGCAACCGCGCGGUGAGGACGAAGGCCGUUCGGUUACGUAAACCGUUCGUUUUAGUUAGGAAAGAAGACGGAAAGUGACGGUACCUAGGCAAGGUAAAAGCCGAACCGGACUAACCGUACGUCGACCCAG
rnacentral:rRNA from 1 species